rnacentral:rRNA from 1 species
CUAAUGGUUCCUGCGGAGCCUUUGCACCCCCCACGGGGAGCGCCCACGACAGUAAAUAAUGGGUUGCGCUUGCAAGUCUAGGGAGUUCCUCCCGGGCGACACAACUAAAUUAUCGGGAAUGUCCAGGCUCUCUGGAUAAUCCGUAGCACUCUCGCAGUGUUCACAGGUCAAAUGGUUGUGGGUUCAGCUUGCUGGGCUUAAGAUAUGAUCGGGCUCUACGAGAGAUUGUAGGGAACCCACCGUUCCGUAGGUCAAGUUUUGCCUGCCACAGUGGCCUCUCCAGGCUGCUAGUCUCCCCCCGGAGGCGACACGCUCAAAGUGCGGGAAGUCCCUAGCCGGGAAAUCCGCAGCCAACGCGCUCCUUACCCGGAGAUUUGGUUCAGAGACUCAAUGAGUGUGGAUUUGGCGGUAGCCAGAUUUUAGAUAGAGCCCACCCCUGCUGGCAACUCCAGGGAAUCAGUGGAACCUGCGGAAGGAUCAUUAAAGAAUACCGGGCUCUCGGGCCCUAUUCUCACCCUUUGUAUACCUAACUUUGUUGCUUUGGCGGAGACGCCAGAGGACCUAAACCCUUGAAUCUCUGCUGUCUGAGUACUAUAUAAUAGUUAAAACUUUCAACAACGGAUCUCUUGGUUCUGGCAUCGAUGAAGAACGCAGCGAAAUGCGAUAAGUAAUGUGAAUUGCAGAAUUCAGUGAAUCAUCGAAUCUUUGAACGCACAUUGCACCCCCUGGCAUUCCGGGGGGUAUGCCUGUUCGAGCGUCAUUACAACCCUCAAGCUCUGCUUGGUAUUGGGCUCGCCCCCGGGCUUGCCUCAAAGUCAGUGGCGGUACUGUCCGACCUUUAAGCGUAGUAAUACUUGCCGCUUAUCACGCUGGGCAGCGUCCCGUCAGAGAACCCCCAUCAUCACAAGGUUGACCUCGGAUCAGGUAGGGAUACCCGCUGAACUUAGAUAUA